AGGAUUAGAUACCCUAGUAUAGAAAUUUAAGAGAUUAAUAUAUAAAGAAAUUUAAGAUUUUUGGCGGUUAAUUAUUAUAUUUGGGGAGCUUGUUUAUAAGAAUUUGCUCUUUAUAUUUUACUAAUUUUUGUUUAUUUAUUUCCGUUAUAAGAUUAGUUCUAAAAAAUUUAUGUUAUUAUUUCAGGUCAAGAUGUAGCAAAAAUUAAUUAAAAUUAGCUACAUUAACGCAGUUACGGAUUAAAAAUAAAUUUUAUGAAGUUGAACUUAGUUGUAAUUUAUUUUAGAAUAAGUAAAUGAAAUUGUAUAAUUUAUGUACAUAUUGCCCGUCACUUCUUUUGUUAAAAUGAAUAAGUCGUAACAAAGUAAAUUUAAGGG
rnacentral:rRNA from 1 species